rnacentral:rRNA from 1 species
AACGAACGCUGGCGGCAUGCCUAACACAUGCAAGUCGAACGAGACCUUCGGGUCUAGUGGCGCACGGGUGCGUAACGCGUGGGAACCUGCCUUUAGGUUCGGAAUAACAGUGAGAAAUUACUGCUAAUACCGGAUGAUGUCUUCGGACCAAAGAUUUAUCGCCUUUAGAUGGGCCCGCGUUGGAUUAGCUAGUUGGUGGGUAAAGGCCUACCAAGGCGACGAUCCAUAGCUGGUCUGAGAGGAUGAUCAGCCACACUGGGACUGAGACACGGCCCAGACUCCUACGGGAGGCAGCAGUGGGGAAUAUUGGACAAUGGGCGAAAGCCUGAUCCAGCAAUGCCGCGUGAGUGAUGAAGGCCUUAGGGUUGUAAAGCUCUUUUACCCGAGAUGAUAAUGACAGUAUCGGGAGAAUAAGCUCCGGCUAACUCCGUG